CAGCAUUUCUUCUUUCAAUCUCUCCUUCACUUAAAUUCUUUCAUUCAACAUCCUCUAACCAAAACUCCCUUCUCUGCGUUUACUCACUCUCCCCAAAACCCUCACUUCGUUCGUUUAUUUUGAUGAUCCCCUUUUGCUCAGAUCCACUCCCAUCAAGCUUAUGAGUUCAGCCCCUCCUCCCUCUGCAUCUCCAGUUUGGUCUCGCCAUUCAAGCUGUCUCGGCGCCUGCGAGUUUGCUGUUUUCGACAACCAUGCUUACGGCGACAGCAUCCCCGAUUUUGUUACAGAGUGGCUGCGCCUCAACCCAGCGUCUUCUGUGAUUAAAUCUUCUAUUUCUCCGUUUAUUUCCAGCUUCAAGAUCAAAACAAAACUUGAAAUGGGAUUUCAUUCUUUUGAUAAUUGAGUUCAUCCCUAAUUUUUUAACAGCUUCAAGGCUGCAAAAUGCAAUCAUGUCAUCGCUAUCAUGGUCCUUCAGAGCUCUACUUCAAACCCUAAUUUCUCCGUUAUAACGCUCAGCUCAAAACCAGAUGCAAAAGUGAUUGGGCUCAGUUUCAAUCUCACCUAACCAAUGCUAAUAAGGUGUAUCUUGAAGGACUGAAACGAAUUGGGAAGGGUUGAUGUGUGCUGAUAAUAAUUUAAACAGGCUGAAGAAUUACCUGCAGCUAUGGCAGCAAGUAAGUGACAACUUGCUCAAACUAAUGAUGAUGUGGUGAGCAUUUGAUUGCUAUUUUUAUUAAUUGAUUACUAUUAGUUUGAAGGAUUUUUUUUCUUUGUUUUGUUUCAAUGUAUUCUCUGUGUAACCUAUUAAUAUAUGCAAGAAAUGAUAGCAAAAAAUUCAAAAUCAGUAUGGUUUAGUUAUAUCUUAUGAAUUUCACUUCAUGAUGGUUUUAUGCAGUUGAUGGAGCGAAUAAUUCAUGAUGUUGAUUAGCACUAAUUUUUUGUUCUUCCUUUUCGAUUUUUCCCUCAAAUUGAAUUCGCAAGGGCUGUUGGAAUUUCAGGCGCAUGCUUUCAAAGCUGCCAACAUACAUGGCAUUCAUUUAAUUAUUGUUGUUGAUAUUCUUAGUUGAAGCUGAUAAUUGUCAAACUUGACGGCAAAUUGCCAAUUGAGCUUUUUCUAUUUUUCCUAUAUAUGUUUUUGUAUUAGUUUUAUCCAUAAUCUUUUCAUUCCAACAAAGUGUCUUUUUUAUCCUCUAGGCUGUAUUCUUUCCUUGAGUAUAGUAUUAAGUUUCUUUGAACUGUGAGUAUAACAUGGUUACCAAUCAUAUUUUCAUAAGCUAUAUGGGACUUACCAAUCAUAUGUGACUAAACUAUGUUAUUUUUUUAUUUCUUCUUUGUGUAUGAUGACUUUGGCUAUGAUCCUCUUCUUCUGUUUGAUUUCUCUGCUGAAACUUGCAAGCACGAGAAAAAGAGAGGGGUGAUCGAUAGAGUUCAUCACCAUUCGAAAAGAAGCAAUUACAUUUGGAGUCGCUGUCAAGGAAGGGGCUAUUUGUGGGGAAAUUUUAGAAGGCAUAGAUAUUACUCAGUUCUGCGUUGUUAGUUUUAAAUUUUCAUUUCAAAGUAAAAUUUAGUAAAUAUAUAGUGGUAUUGGAAUCAGACACGUUCUUGAUAAUAGGAAAAUGAAGUUGCUUUCUUCUCUUAUUUUUUUAGGCAUUAUGUUUCUAAGUCUCAGUAUUUUAUCUACAGGAUGCUUUCAAUGUACAAUAUACAUGGAUGUGUUUGAAGAUAUUGAUGGAAACUUUCGUACCAAGCUAUCCACAAUAGUUUUCCAGAAUAUGCCAAAAGUCUUCUGUGGGGAACACACGAGUUGAAUAUGAAGUUCCUAGGAAAAAGUUUACUGCUAGAUACUGUUUCAUGUUAGCUGCCUAUUAGCCUAAAAACUUGCUGUUAUCUCUUAAGUUUUCUUGCUCUGAUGACAUAAGGACGCGUCUCUGAUUUCUGAAAUUGUGUUCCGCCUUAUGAUCCUCAUUUCUGAUUCAUGCUUAUUUUGAAUUUAUAUAGAAGGUUAUAGCUGGAUAAGAUCCUCAUAUCUGGUUCAUGCUUAUUUAGAAUUGAAAUAGAAUGAUAUAGCUGGAUAAUAGUGUUGAUGGGUGGUGAUAUGAAAAGUGGUUCUCUAGAGAGGUAGCGUGAAAGAGAAGGUGACUAGAUGGAGGUUAUGGAGGGUUGGAUUGUGGUGUACCCUCCUCCCUUGAAUGAUUCUCUUCUUUAUAACAUGUAAUAGGGGGAGGGGGCAAAAAUAGAGAGGAGUUUUUUGUUUUUUUUUUUUUGCAUCAUCACUCUCUUCACCACCAACGAACUCAUUUGUGUUCAUGUCAGGUGUACACGUUCCACUAAGAAAAUGUGAUUGCUAUAAAUAAGUUUGUACUGAA